CAAUAGCGUAUAUUAAAGUUGUUGCGGUUAAAAGCUCGUAAGUUGGAUUUCUGCCGAGGAUGACCGGUCCGCCCUGUGGGUGUGCAUCUGGCUCAGCCUUGGCAUCUUCCUGAAGAACGUAGCUGCACUUGACUGUGUGGUGCGGUAUUUAGGACAUUUACUUUUGAGGAAAUUAGAGUGUUUCAAGCAAGCGCACGCUUUGAAUACAUUAGCAUGGAAUAAUAAGAUAGGACCUCGGUUCUAUUUUGUUGGUUCUAGAGCUGAGGUAAUGAUUGAUAGGGAUAGUUGGGGCGAUUCGUAAUCUGUCAGAGGUGAAAUUCUUUGGAUUGUUUAAAG
rnacentral:rRNA from 1 species